rnacentral:rRNA from 1 species
CGAACGGGAUUGGAUUCAAGUCAUUCCGGUUUGGUUGGCGCGUCACCCGCCAGAUGUUGCCGUGCGCCCGGGGCGAUUCACUUCGCUCGCGGUGUCGUUUUACGGUCUUCACUCGGCGCGGUCGGCGUUCGUCCACCACUGGCGAACUGCACUUCCUCCCUAGUAGAAACGUCGCGACCCGUUGGGUGCCGGUCAAAGGCCCUGGGUGGCAGACCUCGCCGAACUGCGAGAGGUUUCGAGCAGCGGCGAGGACCCCGGGUGACCCGAACCGGCUGCCCGACGGUAUGACCAGAGGAGCUGAUCCGCUGUGCUUGUGAAACACUGUGUGUGUGGAGCGUCCGGCCUGGCGUCGACGCGUGCGGGGGUUUUCGGUGAAAAUCGUGGGUGUACCGUGCGAUGCACGGCCCCGUCCCCGCCGCGUCGUCGGUCGUCGGUGUCCUCGGACUGGAUCGUGAUACUCCCGUCUGCGACGCCCACCCUCGGAUGGUCUCCCGACCC